CAUCUUGUCAAGUCCAGGCACUUACUACAUCUAGGAAAGCUCCAGAGAAGCAGCCUCUAGAAGCUCCAAUCUCCUCUCACAGACACAGACACUUCCGUUGGACCUAUUCCUCAGAUGGCUUCACAGACCCUGGAUAACAAGGAAACUGUUAUGGAUAACAGCCAACUGUCAUCAUCCAUCUUUGAGUGCCGGUGAAAUGUGAUCCAGCCUCUUCCAUGUGUGCCUCAUGCUCCUGCCUUGGUACCUUUCCUGCCAUGGACUUUCUCCCUCUGGAACCAUCAGCUGAAAUAAAUCCUUCUCCCCUCCUACUU
rnacentral:lncRNA from 1 species